rnacentral:rRNA from 1 species
GACAGAGGGUGCAAACGUUGCUCGGAAUCACUGGGCGUAAAGGGCGCGUAGGCGGGGAUGUAAGUCGGGCGUGAAAUCCCCAGGCUCAACCUGGGAACUGCACUCGAAACUGCGUUUCUUGAGUAUCGGAGAGGAAAGCGGAAUUCCUGGUGUAGAGGUGAAAUUCGUAGAUAUCAGGAGGAACACCAGUGGCGAAAGGGCGGCUUUU